GGGCCCGCACAAACGGUAGAGCAUGUGAUUUAAAUGCGAAGCAACGCGAAGAACCUUACCUGUGUUGGAAAUGUAGUGGUAAACAUCAGAGAUGAGACCCCCUCUUCGGAGGCGGCUACAUAGUUGUUGCAUCGCUGUGGUCAGCUCGUGUCGUGAGAAUGUUGGAUUAAGUCCCGCAACGAGCGCAGCCGUUGUCCAUAGUUGGUAACGGGUCAUGGCGAGAACUCUAUGGAGACGGCCGGUGAUAAACCGGAGGAAGGUGGGGAUGAGGUCAAGUCCUCAUGGCCUUUAUGUCCAGGGCUACACACGUGGUACAAUGGACGGUACAAAGGGUUGCAAACCCGCAAGGUGGAGCUAAUCCCAAAAAGCCGUUCUCAGUUCGGAUUGUUGUCUGCAACUCGAGAGCAAGAAGCCGGAAUCUCUAGUAAUCGCGGAUCACAACGCCGCGGGGAAUACGUUCCCGGGCCUUGUACACCCCGCCCGUCACAUCACGAAAGUCGGUUGCACUAGAAGUCGGUGGGCUCACCCCCAAGGGAGGCACCCGCCUAAACUGUCCGCGGUAAGUGGGUCGAAGUCGAGACACGAUAUCCAAGGGC
rnacentral:rRNA from 1 species